UCUCUCUCUCGCUCGCUCUACCACCCUCGCUCUCUUUCCACUGCACUCGCUCCUUGUAUCAGGUGAUCGGGUUAAUUGGGAACCCACCUGCACAUUGAUUGCAGGGUGGCGCUAGCCUGUAUAAAGCUAAGCCGAUGUCUUGUUGGAUUAAUUCCUCCCGAGCUUCUGGUACGAUACAGCAGUAAAUGCUGGCGUACUGCGACGGAUUGAUCAGCAAGAGCCGAUUAUACGACAGCUACAGCGCAGCAGUCUGUUUAAUUCUGCCAUUGCGGAGAGAGGUGUUCGUGGUAUCUCCACCAAUGAGAGUAUAGUGCCUCCGGUCCUGGGGGUUCACUGCUGUACUCACCUCUCCAUGGUAAAUUGUCCAACCUAAAUUGGAAGAGUGGACUGCCUUCUCAGUUGCUGUUGUGAACUCCUCCUUGGUGGAGUCUGCUGUCUUGUCUUGUUUUGUCUUAUCUUGUUUUUAUUAAGUAGGCUUACCCUUUUUUUGGGUUCGCCUGGUGUUCUAUUUUACCCUGGACUGUUGCUCGUACCCACACUUCUGUGAUCGGGCUGAAGUGAUUCUCUGCCCGAGUGUCGUGCUGGGACUCUAAAUCGCCUGGGUGGCCGGUCUCAGCCGGUGGGGAGCCAGACCGGCCUACGCCUGAGAAUAAUUAUUACCAGCACGAGUGUGAAGGAGGACGAGCCAGUGGCCCUGGGACCUCAGGUGGUGGGUCGUUUUCACACUUUCUUUUGUACAGCACUGGGUGGUCUGCAGUGAUUCUUUUGGUGUGAUUUUCUUUUGGUUCCACGGCUGCUGGUAAGUCCAAGUUCCACGAUUGUUUAUUUUUACUGUAGGACACUGUCAAUAAUGACGCUACAUCUUGACUUUUAAUAUUUUAUUUAUAAAAUAUUAUUUAUAAUAUUUUAUUUAUUUCUAUAAAUAAAACUGUUUUAAUAUUGGAAGCCAACCUGCCUCAGUGUGCAUCCUUGAAUCUGUGCGGUCUUCUUUUAUUCCUUUUAUUUAUUUUUCUUAAAUAUAUUUCCUGGGGGUGUAAUUCCCCUAGGUG